AGCGUACACGGUGGAUGCCCUGGCAGUCAGAGGCGAUGAAGGACGUGCUAAUCUGCGAUAAGCGUCGGUAAGGUGAUAUGAACCGUUAUAACCGGCGAUUUCCGAAUGGGGAAACCCAGUGUGUUUCGACACACUAUCAUUAACUGAAUCCAUAGGUUAAUGAGGCGAACCGGGGGAACUGAAACAUCUAAGUACCCCGAGGAAAAGAAAUCAACCGAGAUUCCCCCAGUAGCGGCGAGCGAACGGGGAGGAGCCCAGAGCCUGAAUCAGUGUGUGUGUUAGUGGAAGCGUCUGGAAAGGCGCGCGAUACAGGGUGACAGCCCCGUACACAAAAAUGCACAUGCUGUGAGCUCGAUGAGUAGGGCGGGACACGUGGUAUCCUGUCUGAAUAUGGGGGGACCAUCCUCCAAGGCUAAAUACUCCUGACUGACCGAUAGUGAACCAGUACCGUGAGGGAAAGGCGAAAAGAACCCCGGCGAGGGGAGUGAAAAAGAACCUGAAACCGUGUACGUACAAGCAGUGGGAGCCUCUUAAUGGGGUGACUGCGUACCUUUUGUAUAAUGGGUCAGCGACUUAUAUUCUGUAGCAAGGUUAACCGAAUAGGGGAGCCGAAGGGAAACCGAGUCUUAACUGGGCGUUAAGUUGCAGGGUAUAGACCCGAAACCCGGUGAUCUAGCCAUGGGCAGGUUGAAGGUUGGGUAACACUAACUGGAGGACCGAACCGACUAAUGUUGAAAAAUUAGCGGAUGACUUGUGGCUGGGGGUGAAAGGCCAAUCAAACCGGGAGAUAGCUGGUUCUCCCCGAAAGCUAUUUAGGUAGCGCCUCGUGAAUUCAUCUCCGGGGGUAGAGCACUGUUUCGGCAAGGGGGUCAUCCCGACUUACCAACCCGAUGCAAACUGCGAAUACCGGAGAAUGUUAUCACGGGAGACACACGGCGGGUGCUAACGUCCGUCGUGAAGAGGGAAACAACCCAGACCGCCAGCUAAGGUCCCAAAGUCAUGGUUAAGUGGGAAACGAUGUGGGAAGGCCCAGACAGCCAGGAUGUUGGCUUAGAAGCAGCCAUCAUUUAAAGAAAGCGUAAUAGCUCACUGGUCGAGUCGGCCUGCGCGGAAGAUGUAACGGGGCUAAACCAUGCACCGAAGCUGCGGCAGCGACACUAUGUGUUGUUGGGUAGGGGAGCGUUCUGUAAGCCUGUGAAGGUGUACUGUGAGGUAUGCUGGAGGUAUCAGAAGUGCGAAUGCUGACAUAAGUAACGAUAAAGCGGGUGAAAAGCCCGCUCGCCGGAAGACCAAGGGUUCCUGUCCAACGUUAAUCGGGGCAGGGUGAGUCGACCCCUAAGGCGAGGCCGAAAGGCGUAGUCGAUGGGAAACAGGUUAAUAUUCCUGUACUUGGUGUUACUGCGAAGGGGGGACGGAGAAGGCUAUGUUGGCCGGGCGACGGUUGUCCCGGUUUAAGCGUGUAGGCUGGUUUUCCAGGCAAAUCCGGAAAAUCAAGGCUGAGGCGUGAUGACGAGGCACUACGGUGCUGAAGCAACAAAUGCCCUGCUUCCAGGAAAAGCCUCUAAGCAUCAGGUAACAUCAAAUCGUACCCCAAACCGACACAGGUGGUCAGGUAGAGAAUACCAAGGCGCUUGAGAGAACUCGGGUGAAGGAACUAGGCAAAAUGGUGCCGUAACUUCGGGAGAAGGCACGCUGAUAUGUAGGUGAAGCGACUUGCUCGUGGAGCUGAAAUCAGUCGAAGAUACCAGCUGGCUGCAACUGUUUAUUAAAAACACAGCACUGUGCAAACACGAAAGUGGACGUAUACGGUGUGACGCCUGCCCGGUGCCGGAAGGUUAAUUGAUGGGGUUAGCGGUAACGCGAAGCUCUUGAUCGAAGCCCCGGUAAACGGCGGCCGUAACUAUAACGGUCCUAAGGUAGCGAAAUUCCUUGUCGGGUAAGUUCCGACCUGCACGAAUGGCGUAAUGAUGGCCAGGCUGUCUCCACCCGAGACUCAGUGAAAUUGAACUCGCUGUGAAGAUGCAGUGUACCCGCGGCAAGACGGAAAGACCCCGUGAACCUUUACUAUAGCUUGACACUGAACAUUGAGCCUUGAUGUGUAGGAUAGGUGGGAGGCUUUGAAGUGUGGACGCCAGUCUGCAUGGAGCCGACCUUGAAAUACCACCCUUUAAUGUUUGAUGUUCUAACGUGGGCCCCUUACCGGGGUUGCGGACAGUGUCUGGUGGGUAGUUUGACUGGGGCGGUCUCCUCCUAAAGAGUAACGGAGGAGCACGAAGGUUGGCUAAUCCUGGUCGGACAUCAGGAGGUUAGUGCAAUGGCAUAAGCCAGCUUGACUGCGAGCGUGACGGCGCGAGCAGGUGCGAAAGCAGGUCAUAGUGAUCCGGUGGUUCUGAAUGGAAGGGCCAUCGCUCAACGGAUAAAAGGUACUCCGGGGAUAACAGGCUGAUACCGCCCAAGAGUUCAUAUCGACGGCGGUGUUUGGCACCUCGAUGUCGGCUCAUCACAUCCUGGGGCUGAAGUAGGUCCCAAGGGUAUGGCUGUUCGCCAUUUAAAGUGGUACGCGAGCUGGGUUUAGAACGUCGUGAGACAGUUCGGUCCCUAUCUGCCGUGGGCGCUGGAGAACUGAGGGGGGCUGCUCCUAGUACGAGAGGACCGGAGUGGACGCAUCACUGGUGUUCGGGUUGUCAUGCCAAUGGCACUGCCCGGUAGCUAAAUGCGGAAGAGAUAAGUGCUGAAAGCAUCUAAGCACGAAACUUGCCCCGAGAUGAGUUCUCCCUGACUCCUUGA
rnacentral:rRNA from 1 species